CAGCGAGAGAGCAUAUGUACGAAAAGAAGAAGGAGAGUGAGCUUGUUCUCCGAGUAGCGUUAUUUCAUCAGAUGGAAUACCUGCAGUGGAACACUGCACAACAUGCUGCCCAGUGUCCCAAACACCUUUUUAAACCAAGGAAACCAGGCAGAGAUUGGCAGCAUUUGGAGGUCCACAUCAAAAAUUCCAUUACAUUUGAAGAUCUGACUUGCAGGAAUAAGGGACAUUAUCAUUGUCCCAUAUGUGACACAACUAUCAUUAGAAGGACAGACAUGAAAGUGCAUGUAAAGUCUUCCAUAAAACAAACAUCCACCUCAGCUGCUACCCAGUUCAAUCCGAGUCAGGAUUCAUCCUUCGUCUCCCUGCAACCUGCAAGUCCAUCUGCA